UUCUCCAAAUACUUUUCCCUCAAAUUCUAACUUUGGCAUCAGAGGUUCUUCGGCCAAAGCCCCCCAUUCAACGUGGGCGCGUGAGGCUCUAGGCCUUGACCUAAGGUGUUAUUUGUUUUGUAGGUGUAAUUUUGUCCAAGAUCAAGGAGGAAGAAAUUUGCAUCCACAAAUUGGUGCUUUCAUUAAGAGUUGAGUCCCACACUCGUAGAAGACUCUCGCAUCUAAGGUUUUCUAUUUUCUUGUGCAUUUGUAAAUUUUCGUACAUUCUUAUUUUUAGAAUGUUUUGUUUGCAAAAAUUCUUUGAUAAAACGUAAAAGAAAAGUACAAUGGCUAGAAAUUUAGAAACUUCAACGAACGAAAAUUCCAAUGUUCAAGAGAUGGGACCACGACGAUCCACGAGGCUAAACAUGACAAUAAGUGGAGCGACACCGCCACCACAUGGCUCCACCAUGGCAACCAUCGCGGUGGCCAUGCGGUGGAUGGUAGGUGGCGAGGUCCAUGGCGCCACCACCACGGCCUAAGCUAUGUCAUCUAAGCUUGUCAUGCCAUUCAAAGCCCACGACACCAAGGCCAUGGCCCAAGCCAUGUCACUUCAAGCCCAAGGCAAACCGGCCCGUGGCGCCUAAAUCUAACGUGAGCCCAAUGCGUUGUUGAGUUGAGCCCAAGCCUUGCACCCACAUGCGCCACACGUCGAGUAGCCUACUCCUGUGGCCCAGCUUGCUCCCGUCAAGUAACCCACUCCCGUGGCCUUCUAAGCAGCCUAAAUCGGUCCAAGAUUAGUUCAACUGAUGAUCGAACCAUGAGUAUUUUCACUAC
rnacentral:lncRNA from 1 species